AGGCUGGAGGAUGAAAGGAACGGAGACCCCCAAUCCCCGACCCCACAGGAGCCACCAUCUCCCCAGAGCUGAAAAGGAGAUGGGGUCUCGCUAUGUUGCCCACGCUGGUCUUGAACUUCUGGCCUCAAGUGAUCCUCCCACCUUGACCUCCUAAAGCACUAGGAUUACAAGUGUGAGCCGCUGUGCCCAGCCCUGGCCUUUUGUAUAUUUUCUUUUGUGAAAUUUCUGUUCAAAUUUUUAAAAUCCCAUUUUAAAAAUUG